CAAAAAUAAAAAUCGAGUAGGGGAAACAGAAAGAAAAAAAUUCGUGCACCGAAAAAGUUUGAAAAAAAAAUUCGUGCAGAGACUUUUCCGAUAGGGAAAAUAAUAAGUUGAAAUAAAAAAAAAAUUAUAGCAAGGCCAAGGGGUUAUAUUAGUAAAAAAAUUAUCGACACAAGCAAAAAAUUUUGAAAAAUUAUUCGUACAAUAGUUGAAAAAGUCCCCCCCCCCCCAUCACUUUUCUAAUGGUCCGUCCCUUAAAAUAAAUAAUUAAAACACUUCUAUACCAGGCAGGGCCGUGCCAAGUGUUUUUUGGUUUGGGGGGGGUGAAAUAAAAAAUUUGGGGGCCCCCUCAAAAAAAAUUUUCCAGAAACCAAAGAAUUUUUCUGGAAAAUACUGGGGAGGGGGGAGGCCCCAAACACUAGGUUUACAUAAUGGGGGCUUAAAUUUAGUUUUGAAGAUCUUUUUAGACCAAUUUUCCAGGAAAUUCCUCAAUAUUUAAAAGUUCCGCUUUCCAGGGCCCCCUGUCCGCAAUUUGGGCCCCCUUUUUUACUUUACUUUGGGGGGGGUGAUACACCCCCCAGGUGGCACGGCCCUGAUACUAGGCUAGGUGUGCUUUAAAUAAAAACAGUAGGUAGAAUUUGGCACGUAUACGGCAUGUAAUAAUGAUUUCUAAACUGAUUAAAUUUGCUCCCAUUAUGCUUUGCAAGCUUAGAGUUUAAGGUUUAGAGUUUAAGCUUUAGAGUUUUUUAAGGUUAGCAAAGGACAACCUUUUUUUAAUUAGCUGCAUACAUUGCAUUUUUGUUAACUCCUUCGACAAACAGUGAUUUGAGGCAAAAAAAACCGUUUUGUACUCAAGGAAAGUGAAUACGAUGUAAAAUAUCACUGAGUAACAGCAUAAAAAUAUUAGAAAAAACUCAUUUACCUACUAAAGUUCCGAUAAAAAAAAAAAUCAAAACGCAAGCAGUGACUACAAUGUAUAAUAAUAUAGACUAUAGUAGUUAAUGUACCAAAUCUUCUUCUAGAUAGUUGUGUUUGUUACAUAGACUGAGGUUUCGUGGUUGAGUUUUCUCUCCGCACAAACAAAACCUCAAUUGAAUUUACUUUUAGUCUAGAAUAGACUUUACUUUUAUAAUAGAAUCCCUACCCAACGUAUAGGCAAGUAUAAUGUGAACCAUUUUUAUCAGGCGGGGUACCGCUUGUCCAGUGUGUUGUAUUUGGGCAGAGGAUAACCAAAUAACUCGUGAUCUGUUUUAUAAACAGUCAAUAGUUGAUCAAAAUACUUUCUGGAAAGUUCUUUUAGGAAAUCUGCAGUUGUUUCUUUUGUUUUGGUUCGCGCAGCGCUGUUGUGUACCACAUGCAUGGAGCUUGGUUUCA